rnacentral:rRNA from 1 species
AACCGCGGUUAUACGAGAGGCUCAAGUUGACAGCUUUACGGCGUAAAGGGUGGUUAGGAAAAACAAAAAACUAAAGCCGAAUGCCCUCAAAGUUGUUAUAAGCUCUCGAGGGUAAGAAGUCCAACUACGAAAGUGGCUUUAUUUAGUCUGAAUCCACGAAAGCUAGGGUA